rnacentral:rRNA from 1 species
UACGAAGGGGGCUAGCGUUGCUCGGAAUUACUGGGCGUAAAGCGCACGUAGGCGGCUUGUUAAGUCGGGGGUGAAAUCCUGGAGCUCAACUCCAGAACUGCCUUCGAUACUGGCGAGCUCGAGUUCGGGAGAGGUGAGUGGAACUGCGAGUGUAGAGGUGAAAUUCGUAGAUAUUCGCAAGAACACCAGUGGCGAAGGCGGCUCACUGGCCCGAUACUGACGCUGAGGCGCGAAAGCUAGGGGAGCAAACAGG